rnacentral:rRNA from 1 species
UGGGGAAUUUUUGGGACAAUGGGCGAAAGCCUGAUCCAGCAAUGCCGCGUGUGUGAAGAAGGCCUUCGGGUUGUAAAGCACUUUUGUCCGGAAAGAAAUCCUUGGCUCUAAUACAGUCGGGGGGAUGACGGUACCGGAAGAAUAAGCACCGGCUAACUACAUGCCAGCAGCCGCGGUAAUACGUAGGGUGCAAGCGUUAAUCGGAAUUACUGGGCGUAAAGCGUGCGCAGGCGGUUUGCUAAGACCGAUGUGAAAUCCCCGGGGCUCAACCUGGGAACUGCAUUGGUGACUGGCAGGCUAGAGUAUGGCAGAGGGGGGUAGAAUUCCACGUGUAGCAGUGAAAUGCGUAGAGAUGUGGAGGAAUACCGAUGGCGAAGGCAGCCCCCUGGGCCAAAUACUGACGCUCAUGCACGAAAGCGUGGGGAGCAAACAGGAUUAGAUACCCUGGUAGUCCACGCCCUAAAACGAUGUCAACUAGUUGUUGGGGAUUCAUUUCCUUAGUAACGUAGCUAACGCGUGAAGUUGACCGCCUGGGGAGUACGGUCGCAAGAUUAAAACUCAAAUGAAUUGACGGGGUCAUAGCUGUUU